UACGAAGGGGGCUAGCGUUGCUCGGAAUUACUGGGCGUAAAGGGCGCGUAGGCGGACAGUUUAGUCAGAGGUGAAAGCCCAGGGCUCAACCUUGGAACUGCCCUUGAUACUGGCUGUCUUGAGUUCGGGAGAGGUGAGUGGAAUGCCGAGUGUAGAGGUGAAAUUCGUAGAUAUUCGGCGGAACACCAGUGGCGAAGGCGACUCACUGGCCCGAUACUGACGCUGAGGCGCGAAAGCUAGGGGAGCAAACGGG
rnacentral:rRNA from 1 species